GAGGGUCUAGUUCAGUGGUAGAGCACAUGCUUAGCAUGCAAGAGGUCCUGGGUUCAAUCCCCUGUACCUCCA
rfam:Camelus ferus unplaced genomic scaffold scaffold781, whole genome shotgun sequence.